rnacentral:rRNA from 1 species
UACGUAGGGGGCAAGCGUUGUCCGGAUUUACUGGGCGUAAAGAGCGCGCAGGCGGUCAGGUAAGUCGAGUGGGAAAGCCCCCGGCUCAACUGGGGAGGGUCAUUCGAUACUGUUCGACUCGAAGGCAGGAGAGGGAAGCGGAAUUCCCGGUGUAGUGGUGAAAUGCGUAGAUAUCGGGAGGAACACCAGUGGCGAAGGCGGCUUCCUGGCCUGUUCUUGACGCUGAGGCGCGAAAGCUAGGGGAGCAAACGGG